GACCAAGUCAGCUACAACAAUCCCCAAAGAACUACUAAAAAGUCGCAUUAUCUUCCAUGACGGCCGUUUAGUUCGACGUCCAACGCCGUUAAACGCCAUUAUCACAUACCUCUGGCUUCCCUUCGGCUUCAUCAUCUCCAUCAUCCGUGUCUACUUUAACCUCCCUCUACCCAGAAACUUUGUCCAUUUCAUCUCCAUCAUCAUCGCCGUUAUCAAAACGAAGCAAGUGAGAAAAACUCAAUAAAGAAAAUAUCAUACGAGGUAAUCGAACGCUGUCAAUCAAACUACAUCUAUCAAAGCCCUAACUAGAUCUUAUACAAAAACUGGAAAUCGAAGAGAGAAUAAAGACUUACCAAGAAGGAGAUGGAGAUCAGAAGCGAGAAAGAAGAUGGAGGGAUUGGGAUUGGAGGAGGAAGAGAGAAAUUGUUUUCGACGAAGAGAGAGAAUGAAGAAAAU
rnacentral:lncRNA from 1 species